CCAUGGUUUGCCAAAGCCUCAUAUUCCACAUCGGUGUGCAAUACCGGCAUAACACGGUAAGGCACGGGAUUUGAAUAACAGGGGAUGAUAUAGUCAGGGUCAGUAGGGCUAAACUUAGGCUCACCCUUGUCUUCUCUAUCUGAAAGGUAAAGCGUCAUGGCAAGAAAGGCAGCAUCAGAAGUGAAAAAAACAUGAGAAGGGACACCAAGUUCUUUUGCAACAUCAAUAAAUACAGUGCAAAACAUAUCAACAACAACACUAGCAAUUGGUGCAGGGUUGUGGGCCAUGACUAGGUUAACAAUAGUAUCUUUCACAAGGGUUUUGUGAUCAUUGAUGUAAGAAGUAAAAGCACUUGCAGGGCUUACAGCUAAAGCUUCUGGAGGAGGUGUAGGUAUGGUAUCAGGAAUUUCGACGAACCUGAUUUCUGUAUGAAUUGAAGCAAGCGAUUCGGUGUUCUUGCUUAUGCCACCGUAAAAUGGAUUGUUGAUGGCAAGCAUGGUUAUCAAGAAACUGUCGUUUCUCUCAAGAACCAUCUUUGCUAACUGAACAGCUGCUACAAGGUGGCCAAAUCCAGGUGCAGGGACAAAGACUAGCUGUGUUUUCUUCAUUUUGGAGGUUUUGAAUGUUCAAUAUGGUGAUCCUUGUUUGCUUUAUAAGGGGCUCAAGGUCAAUGCCACAAUGCCAGCUGUUAUGAUUUUUUUUUUCUCUAAAUUAAUCAUCAAAUUGGAUAUGACAAUUAUUAUUACAAAGAUUGAUUUCAUAGAAAAAUUUUCCUGUAAUAUUUUUAAACAAUUCAAAUUAAAUAAAAGAAAAGAAAGCUAGGUUUCAUUUUAUUUUGAAGUUAUAUUUUUAAUAUAUAUAUAUAUAUAUAUAUAUAUAUAUAUAAACUAAACUAAACUAAAAAUAUUAUUUUAUUUUUAAUAAAUAAAAUUAAAUAAAUAUAUUUGUUUAACAACAUUCAUCUAUCCCAUAAGAUAUCAUUUAUCUUUAUUACAAAAAAUUAUAGAUGAUUUACUAGAAUGAUUUAAUUAAGUAUAACUUGAUUAAAAUAUAUAAUAGAAAUUAAGGAUUAGAAUAUAAUUAAUACAAGGAUUAUAUUUCUAUAUCUAGAAAAAUCAAGUAAGGAUUUAAUUGAUUAUAUUUUUAAAAUUACCCUUACAUAAUAUAUGGAUAUUUUUAAAAUUAUCUUUACAUAAUAUAUGGAUAUUAUUUAAAGGCAAAUAUAUAUAUAUAAUCAUUUAUACGGUUUUGAGAUUUUCUAUAAUUAUAAAGUUAAGCCUAUUAUUUUGUAAGUAAAAAAAUAAUGAUUGUCUAUUUUAUAAAAAAACUACGUAAAAACAAUAUUAGAGCUAGCACUCUAGGCAUAACAAUCUCUCUUUUCUAAAUAGAGAUUUAAGAGAUUUCUCACGGGUAGUUUGUAUGGAUUAUCAUUAGAGACCGAAUAAUUUAACGAUUUGUGGUUUGCGACAACCCAACUUUUAAAGAAUAAUUUAAAAUAAAUAAAUUAAAUAUUCAAAUAAUAAAUCUUUAAAUAAUUUUAAAUCUAAUCUACAUGAUAUAAGAACAACUUAAUAUAUUCAAUCAUGCGAAUUCUUUGUAGUUUUUAAUGUAUCAAAAUGGAUUUAAUAAUACCUUACUAUUAAAAAGAAGAAGAAGUCAACAACAAUGAUUGAUUGUGAUUGCAUUUAAUAGCUAGACAGUUACAUGGCUAGAAAGAAUCCAAAGAUAAUAUAUAAUAAAUGGCAAUUUCGUAGGAAUUGCUGAAGUGUUAAAUUGUGGAUGAAGUUUUUGAUGAAUUUUUAUUUUAUUCUAUUGUACUUUUCAUCAUUGGUAGUUAUUUAUGAAAAUAUUAUAUCACUAUUUAUAUCAAAAUUAUUGACGCAAAAAUUCUAUCACUGUUAUCUUCUAAAAUUAUUGAUGAAAAAUUUAUCAUUGACAUUUCUGAUUUUAUUUAUUAAUUUUCUGGUAAUAAUAAUAAUCUUAUGCUCAGAUUUAUAAUUUUAUAAUUUAAAAAAUAGAAUUGAUAUCUGAAACUUAAAAGAAGAUUAAACCUUUCAUUUUUUAAUUAUAUGAAGUAUUGAUAAUACAACUAAUCAAACAUAAACUAACAAUCAUUUAAACAAAAUUUAAGAAUUUAUGGUAGAAUUGCAUAAAUUAAUUUUAAAAAUUACUUUUUAUAAAUUUUUAUCAAGUAAUUCUACAAUCAAUUCCUAAAGCCUAACAAUCAUUUAAACAAAAUUUAAAAAUUGAGGAUAGAAUUACUUAAUUGGUAAAAAAUUAUGAAAAUAAGCGAACUUUGCUAAAAUCAUGUAUAUUCAUCCUUAUGAUUAAAUGACAUUUAAAUGUCUAAAGUAAAGAAUACCUUCAUCUAGCCAAAACAAAAUUCAGGGAUCUUCUACAAUGAAGACGCUAUCGUUUCAUGCACACAUCAUAUAUAAACGAGAAAUUCAAAUCAACAUAAUAUAUAUAUAUAUAUAUAUAUAUAUAUAUAUAUAUAUAUAUAUAUAUAUAUAUAUAUAUAUGUCCAACUAUUCUAAUGGCACUAAUUUUCAACUACUAAUGAAAAAAAAUAUUAAAAAGUAAUUUUUUAUAUUUUUUAAAUUAAUUUAGAUAUUAAUUAAAAUAAAGUAUACAAUAUUAAGAUUAUUCAAAAUGUUAGUCUCACUUCAUGCAUAAACUAAUAUGAGCUUAUCUUUUAAUGUAUCAUGAAUGAUUUUAUUUUAUUGGUGUGGGUUUUUUUUAUAUAAUUCUGGAUAUUUUAACUACUUUAUGUGUAACUCAAUUAAGUUUUUAAAAUUCUAAAUUUUACAACCAUGUAAUGUGUAUUGAUGGGGCAGGCAGGGAGGUGACUGUUUCUGGAGGGACGGGUGCUUGUAAAUUGGAUAGUGAGGGGUCGACAAGCCAUGGCCAUAAGCAAAAAGAUAAAGGACGAGGAGGGAGAAAAAAAAAUUGUGCAUAAUUUGUGGAGCACGGUGGGACAGGGAUAAUAAUUUAAUAUGAGACUUUUGAAUAUUAACCGAAAACCUACUUCUUUAUUGAAUAUUCAAAAAAAAUAAACCAAAAUGAUACAUUUAUUUAUAUAUAUAUAAUAAAAAAAAACACACACACGGAUAUAUCCAUAUAAAUACCAAACAUUACCGGAAUUAAUAAUUUUAGAGACAAUAUUUUUUUUUUGUUAGUAUUUAUACCAACAAUCCAUUGGUAUAAAAUUUAUCGAUAAAUUUAUAAAAAGAAUUCAUUUGCUAGUAAAAAAAAAACACCAAUGUUUUUACAAAUAAAAAGUUUGUAUAAAAGAAAUCACUUGUUUUAAUACUUUAAUGGAAUUAUUUUGUUAGUGAUUGAUAAUGGUAUUUAUUGUAAUUUUAUUUCAAUUCUUUAUAAAAUAUUAAUGGAAUUAUUUUCAUUCAUGAUGUAAUAAUAUUGAAGUGACAUAUAAAGUAAAUUGUUCCCCUUACCUUUGGAAUAUAUUGAGUUACUACGGGUUGUGUCCAUUGAUACAUCCGUCUGCAAGAGUUAAAAAAAUGCCCUUUUCUUUUAGUACAAUUAUGUUUUUUGUUAGUUUUUAUUUUUCACAUUCUAACCCUGGCGCCAUUAGAAAAAGAUAUGUCUCCACCACAAAACUAGGCAAAAAUAUGACGGGGUGCCUUUAAGUUUGUAUUUCAUGGCUAUGAUCUAAAUCUGGUUUGCCAAAAACUUCGUGAGCAAAGUAAAAUUGGCGUAACAACUGAAUUUAGGCCAAGUUUCAAAUUUUUGUUUACUUUUCUGAAAGUUUUGAUUUAUGGUUUCCAAUUUUCCAAGUCAAAUUUAUGGUUGAUACAAACUAAGCAAGGUAAUUUAAGAAGUUUUUUGCAAAACACGAGAAGGGACCCCAAGUUCUUUUGCAACAUCAAUAAAGGCAGUGCAAAACAUAUCAACAACAACACUAGCAAUUGGUGCAGGGUUGGGGGCGCCAUGACUAGGUUAACAAUAGUAUCUUUCACAAGGGUUUUGUGAUCAUUGAUGUAAGAAGUAAAAGCACUUGCAGGGCUUACAGCUAAAGCUUCUGGAGGAGGUGUAGGUAUGGUAUCAGGAAUUUCGACGAACCUGAUUUCUGUAUGAAUUGAAGCAAGCGAUUCGGUGUUCUUGCUUAUGCCACCGUAAAAUGGAUUGUUGAUGGCAAGCAUUGUUAUUGAAGAAACAAAGAGAAAGAAGAAUCUUAUUUUCAUAUCAAUUCUGUUAGAGCAGCAUAGG
rnacentral:lncRNA from 1 species